UCUCCGUUGGUGAACCAGCGGAGGGAUCAUUACCGAGUUUACAACUCCCAAACCCAAUGUGAACCAUACCAAACUGUUGCCUCGGCGGGGUCACGCCCCGGGUGCGUCGCAGCCCCGGAACCAGGCGCCCGCCGGAGGACCAACCAAACUCUUUCUGUAGUCCCCUCGCGGACGUUAUUUCUUACAGCUCUGAGCAAAAAUUCAAAAUGAAUCAAAACUUUCAACAACGGAUCUCUUGGUUCUGGCAUCGAUGAAGAACGCAGCGAAAUGCGAUAAGUAAUGUGAAUUGCAGAAUUCAGUGAAUCAUCGAAUCUUUGAACGCACAUUGCGCCCGCCAGUAUUCUGGCGGGCAUGCCUGUCCGAGCGUCAUUUCAACCCUCGAACCCCUCCGGGGGGUCGGCGUUGGGGAUCGGGAACCCCUAAGACGGGAUCCCGGCCCCGAAAUACAGUGGCGGUCUCGCCGCAGCCUCUCCUGCGCAGUAGUUUGCACAACUCGCACCGGGAGCGCGGCGCGUCCACGUCCGUAAAACACCCAACUUCUGAAAUGUUGACCUCGGAUCAGGUAGGAAUACCCGCUGAACUUAAGCAUAUCAAUAAGCGGG
rnacentral:rRNA from 1 species